GACGAACGCUGGCGGCGCGCUUAACACAUGCAAGUCGAGCGAUGAAACUUUAACAGCACCCUUCGGGGCGAAGAUAAAGUGGAUUAGCGGCGGACGGGUGAGUAACACGUGAGUAACCUGCCUUAGACAUUGGGAUAGCCUCGGGAAACCGGGAUUAAUACCAAAUAAAAUCAUAAUGACACAUGUCAUAACGAUCAAAACUCCGGUGGUCUAAGAUGGACUCGCGUCCCAUUAGCUAGUUGGUAGAGUAAAAGCCUACCAAGGCGGCGAUGGGUAGCCGGCCUGAGAGGGUGAACCGCCACAUUGGAACUGAGAAACGGUCCAAACUCCUACGGGACGGAGCAGUGGGGAAUAUUGCACAAUGGAGGGAACUCUGAUGCAGCGACGCCGCGUGAACGAAGAAGGCUUUCGAGUCGUAAAGUUCUUUUAUAUGGGAAGAUAAUGACGGUACCAGAAGAAAAAGCCCCGGCUAACUACGUG
rnacentral:rRNA from 1 species